CCUACGGGUGGCAGCAGUAGUGAAUUUUCGUCAAUGGGCGCAAGCCUGAACGAGCAAUGCCGCGUGAACGAGGAAGGUCCUCGGAUCGUAAAGUUCCGUUGAAGGGGAAAAAGAGCGGAGAGCGGAAAUGAACUCCGCUUGAUAUUACCCUUCGAGGAAGUCACGGCUAACUACGUGCCAGCAGCCGCGGUAAUACGUAGGUGGCGAGCGUUAUCCGGAAUGAUUGGGCGUAAAGGGUGCGUAGGCGGCCUGCUAAGUCUGGAGUGAAAGGUACCGGCUCAACCGGUAUAGGCUCUGGAAACUGGCGGGCUAGAGAGCAGGAGAGGGCGGUGGAACUCCAGGUGUAGCGGUAAAAUGCGUAGAUAUAUGGAAGAACACCAGUGGCGAAGGCGGCCGCCUGGCCUGUUACUGACGCUGAGGCACGAAAGCGUGGGGAGCAAAUAGGAUUAGAUACCCGGGUAGUC
rnacentral:rRNA from 1 species